rnacentral:tRNA from 1 species
GCGGAAGUAGCUCAGUGGUAGAGCGUCUCCCUCCCAAGGAGAAGGUCGCGAGUUCGAGCCUCGUCUUCCGCUCCA